GAAAUGCGAUAAGUAAUGUGAAUUGCAGAAUUCAGUGAAUCAUCGAAUCUUUGAACGCACCUUGCGCCCUUUGGUAUUCCGAAGGGCAUGCCUGUUUGAGUGUCAUUAAAUUAUCAACCUUAAGACUUGCGUCUUCAAGGCUUGGAUGUGAGGGCUUGCUGGCUUCCUUCAGUGGACGGUCUGCUCCCUUUAAAUGCAUUAGUGGGAUCUCUUGUGGACCGUCACUUGGUGUGAUAAUUAUCUAUGCCAUUUGACUUUGAAGCAAACUAAUGGGAACCUGCUUAUAACCGUCCCUUCGGGACAACUUAUUGACAAUUUGACCUCAAAUCAGGUAGGACUACCCGCUGAACUUAA
rnacentral:rRNA from 1 species